rnacentral:lncRNA from 12 species
CUGAGCAGGGGAGCAGGAGAAGGGGGUGAUGAGUGAGGGGUAGAGGGGGCCUGCAGGGAGAGGGAGGGAGGAGGGGGCCGGGGCAGUGUGAGGAGACAGGACCCACGCUCAGAGAAAGGAGGGCUCCAGGAGCAGGUGUCCGUCCCUGGCCGCUGCUCAGGGAAUUGGAGAGUGUCUGCUACUACCCAUGGCCCCAUUUCCCACGGGUUCCCUGUCCUGCGCUGAGGCUUGGGGAAGCCCAGAGGGCCAUGGCACUUUCAUUGUCCCACGGAGUCCUCACAGUAAGCACAUGGUCGUUUCUGUGAGUCUGCAAUUUUAGCACCCUCACCAUGGAGCCAUUCCGCAGCACAUCAUCCAUCAAUCUGCCUUGCUCUGGUUUCUCGGAAUCCUUGGCUCAGGUGAGUACCGGGCUGGGAAUCUGUGCAGCUGGGUAAUGUGGUCAACAGGCGGUUAGAGUGAGAAACUGAGUUAACCAAGUGAUUGGACCUGCCAGGACCCACCUGCUCAUGAGGGCACCUUACUAGAGAAAGAGGGUCCUUCCCUCUCCUAGGUGGCAGGCUCCAGUCACAUGAAGGACAGAGUCAGGCAGGGUCCCUUUCGUUGCCUACUUUCUAACUCACCAUCUUCUUCAACCAUAAAAUUUUCCAUUAACUUUGAACAUGAGUUUCCUCCUUCUUGUAUUUGUGAAGCACGUUGCUUGUUUUGGUUCAGUUUUUGUUUCAUUUUACUUUGUUAGUGUGUUACAUUCGACUCUGAACUCAUUUCCGCUAUCAUCCAACCACAUCUCCGGCUCAUCAAGGCUGUGUCAUAUUCUAAACUCCUGUUUUUCUAGGCCUAUGGCUUGAGUGACUGUCUUGAGAUGAGCUGACAAGUAUGCCAUUUUAAUCAUAACAUCAUGUCAAAAAUGAGAAGGGAGCUUUGUUCUUCCUCAGUGUCACCACAGCUCCGUGACGGAGACCCACCAAGGCAAAGAAAAGGAAGAGGCAAGGAUGUGAGGUCAGCCCAAGUAAACAGGGAAGCACCAUCAACCCAGAUGCAGAAACUGAUCCAAGAUGGGCUGAUCAUCUGGAGGUCUGUGACUGUCCAUUCCCAGGUUGGGGGCCCGACAAACACAUUGACCCAUCGGAAGGGCAGGUAUGUGGACACUGGUAAGAGAAAAGGUACUGCCGACGCUCAAAUGUCCAAGAAGGUGACCUG